GGAACACAAGAGCAUGCCAAAGAGAUCAGGGGAGACUUGAAGUCCACUUACUGCCUGCUUUUGCUCUUCCUCCUAGAGGUGUUGAAGAUGAAAAAAAGGCAGAGGAGAGAAAUUAAUGUCCAUUACCACACAUGCUGGGAAGAAAUGGUGGAAGGAAUCAGGUAAAGAUGAAUCUCUUGGCUAGGUGAAUCUCUUCACAGGUGUGUCUUGAGAGUGUUUCCAGAAGAGAUCAGCUUUGGAAUCAGUAGACUAAAGAAGAACUGCUUUCACCAAAAUGGGCAGACAUCCAGCCCAUUGAGGAUCUGAAUAGAUUAAAAAAAACAAGUAUGCUCUCUUCUGGUGAGGGAACAUUGAUCUCUUCCUGCACUUGGACAGAGGAAAUGUCCUGGUUUUUUGUGUCAACAGCUGAAUGUCCAUGCCCCUGACUCACUCUGUGCAGUGGGAGUGUCACACAGACGCAUGUUGGACUGUACCACUGGUUCUCCUGGGUCUCCAGCUAGCCCAUUCCAGGACUUCUCUGCCUCUAUAAUCCCCAUAAAAGGUCCUUUAAUAUAAUUCUACAUAUCCUCUAUUGAUUCUGUUUCUCUGAAAACACGCCAAGUUUACCUCUGUUGUACUUAUUAAAGUAGGACGCUUGAUGUUUGUUAAAUUUUUGGUGCAAUACCUAAAAAUUUAUCUUAAAAGAACCUAAGUAGUUGAGAAAU